rnacentral:rRNA from 1 species
AUUGAACGCUGGCGGCAGGCCUAACACAUGCAAGUCGAGCGGAAACGACUUAACUGAACCUUCGGGGAACGUUAAGGGCGUCGAGCGGCGGACGGGUGAGUAAUGCCUAGGAAAUUGCCCUGAUGUGGGGGAUAACCAUUGGAAACGAUGGCUAAUACCGCAUAAUGCCUACGGGCCAAAGAGGGGGACCUUCGGGCCUCUCGCGUCAGGAUAAGCCCAGGUGAGAUUAGCUAGUUGGUGAGGUAAGAGCUCACCAAGGCGACGAUCUCUAGCUGGUCUGAGAGGAUGAUCAGCCACACUGGAACUGAGACACGGUCCAGACUCCUACGGGAGGCAGCAGUGGGGAAUAUUGCACAAUGGGGGAAACCCUGAUGCAGCCAUGCCGCGUGUAUGAAGAAGGCCUUCGGGUUGUAAAGUACUUUCAGUUGUGAGG